CCCAACCCAUUCGCAACCCCAUGGGGUCGUCUUCCUCCCCGUCGCCAUGAAGAACAGGGGCGACUUCGCCACGAAGAACAGAGGCGUCGCCCCUCUCUCCUCCAUCAAAUACCCCUAAAAUCGAGGUGUUUGCCCGCCAAAACUUGUGGAUUUGAGCCUCCCAACUUGUUGAGGAUGGCGGGGGUUAAUAGGUACCCUAGACUUGAUGGUUCUUAUGAAGCGAAGCAUCAUGCAAGGGCCAUCGAAAGAGGGCAGGAAAAGGGCAUAAAUAUGGGAGGAUAUCAUCAUAUACAAGGAAGUACGAAGUUUAGUGGAAGAGGCAUGUCAAUAGGAGGUGCAGUAGGCAAAACAGAGCGCAAGACAACACAUGGUACAAGCACACCAGCUCGUACCGCCACUCGUACGACAUAACACCAGCUUCAAAUGGUUCACCUGACCAGCUUCUAUAAAGAAGUUGACACCAAAAUAUCAACAGGGAGAGAACCAUUCACUGAACAGAG